CGGAGGGGGCAAGCGUUGUUCGGAAUCAUUGGGCGUAAAGGGCGCGUAGGCGGCCGACCAAGUCGGGUGUGAAAUCCCUCGGCUCAACCGAGGAACUGCAUUCGAUACUGGUUGGCUAGAGUCCGGGAGGGGAUGGUGGAAUUCCCAGUGUAGCGGUGAAAUGCGUAGAUAUUGGGAAGAACACCGGUGGCGAAGGCGGCCAUCUGGACCGGCACUGACGCUGAGGCGCGAAAGCCAGGGGAGCGAAUGGGAUUAGAUACCCCGGUAGUCCUGGCUGUAAACGAUGGGCACUUGAUGUGGCGGGUACUGACCCCCGCCGUGUCGAAGCUAACGCGUUAAGUGCCCCGCCUGGGGAGUACGGUCGCAAGGCUG
rnacentral:rRNA from 1 species